CUCAACAAAGCCAUAUCACUCUGCAACUCACAACUGGAAACCCACUGAAGCUAAGCAGGUGUGAGCCUGGUCAGUACCUGGAUGGGAGACCUCCUGGGAAAAACUAAGGUUGCUGCUGAUA
ensembl:rRNA 5S_rRNA 5S ribosomal RNA